NNNNNNNNNNNNNNNNNNNNNNNNNNNNNNNNNNNNNNNNNNNNNNNNNUGGAGCCGUGUCGCAGGGGCCGGGCUCUGGCACGGUGUCAGCUCACCCCGAGCCAUGGCAAUGGUGCCCCGGCACCCCACCUUCCCCAGGCGCCCGGGAAGUGCUGGUGGCCCCAUGCAACCUGGACCCUGGGAGGAGGGUCUCUUCCUUUCCACACUUCAGAGGGUCCUGCAUUUCGCUUCCAGGUGGGAAGAGACGGGCUGAGGAGGGGGCUUGGAUCCGGACUGGGGGAGCGGCGAGAUUGGGCCUGCUCUCAGCCCCCAGGGAGGGGGAGGCUGCUGCCAGAAGCUGCAGGCCGGCAUUGCACUGGAGACUCCCACGUGCCCUUCCUCUUCCCUCCUGGAGCCCCUGGGCCCCGACGCCAACGCACGGGCUCCAGCCCUGUCCUGCGCACCGCGUCCUGGGGGGAAGUGGUGUCACCGUCUCCACUGCCCCGGAGCACGCAUCCUGCCAGGCUCGGCCACUGCUGCUGCACAGGAGCGAGGCAGGCCAGGCUCCUCUGGGGCAGGACUUGGAGGCAGCCUGGAUGCACCUAAAAGGUUGGUUGUGCUGGUGGCACCUGGGUCCGGGAGGGCAGAGGAGCUUGGCUCCCUAUCGCUGCUGCCAGGCAGGGGCAGCCGCCCAUUGCGGUCCCCUCCCGGGGCUCCGGCCUCUGCCAGAGGUGAGGCCCCUGGAGCUGGCGGCUCUGGGAGUCGCUAAAUCCAAGUGUCGUGGGCAAAGAGGGCUAGUCGCUCCCCGUGGCCAGGAAGGAAACCUAAAUCCCCAGAGACGCUGUCGCGCGAGCCAUCCCCAGGCCCAUCCCUCUGCCCUUGGCUCCUGGCUCUGUGCCCCAGUCUCUGGUGUCGGCUGCUGGCCAAGUUCCCGUCUCAGUGCCCUUCCUGUUUCUGGAGCCAAAAGAGCUGGUUUUGGGGACAGGGAAGGUCUGUGCUUGAGCGCAGGCACUUGGAGGAAAGACAACAAGCCCUGGGC
rnacentral:lncRNA from 1 species